UCAGAUCAAGCGCGAAAAGGGCGUUUGGUGGAUGCCUUGGCAGUAAGAGGCGAUGAAGGACGUGAUACCCUGCGAUAAGCGAUGGGGAGCCGGGAAUAGGCUUUGAUCCAUCGAUCUCCGAAUGGGGCAACCCACCUGAUUACAUUCUGUUUUUGCUUCGCAAAACGCACACUCCGUGCCGGCCCUUGGCCGGUCUGGCGCGUCGCGGCGAAGUGGUGAACAGAGUGUAUAACCAGGUACUAUUUUCCUGAAUACAUAGGGAUUAUAGAGCAAACCCGGGGAACUGAAACAUCUAAGUACCCGGAGGAAAGGACAUCAAUAGAGACUCCGCUAGUAGUGGCGAGCGAACGCGGACCAGCCAAGCCAGAUAAGUGACCGGAACCGGUUGGGAAACCGGGCCAUAGCGGGUGACAGCCCCGUACGGGAAGCUUUGAUGGAUGUAUCAAGUAGGGCGGGACACGUGAAAUCCUGUCCGAAGAUCGGAGGACCACCUCCGAAGGCUAAGUACUCCUUACUGACCGAUAGCGAACCAGUACCGUGAGGGAAAGGUGAAAAGCACCCCGACGAGGGGAGUGAAACAGUACCUGAAACCGGACGCCUACAAGCAGUCGGAGGGGAUUUAUCCCUGACGGCGUACCUUUUGUAUAAUGGGUCAUCGACUUGGUCUCACGUGCAAGCUUAAGCCGUUAGGUGUAGGCGCAGCGAAAGCGAGUCUUAAUAGGGCGUCGAGUUCGUGGGAUCAGACCCGAAACCGAGUGAUCUAGGCAUGACCAGGAUGAAGGUUGGGUAACACCAACUGGAGGUCCGAACCCACACCUGUUGAAAAAGGUCGGGAUGAGUUGUGCCUAGGGGUGAAAGGCCAAUCAAACUCGGAGAUAGCUGGUUCUCCGCGAAAUCUAUUUAGGUAGAGCGUCAUCCGAAUACCCCGGGGGGUAGAGCACUGGAUGGGUAAUGGGGCCCCACAGGCUUACUGAUCCUAACCAAACUCCGAAUACCCGGGAGUACUGGAUGGCAGACACACGGCGGGUGCUAACGCCCGUCGUGGAGAGGGAAACAACCCUGACCUCCAGCUAAGGCCCCCAAUUCAUGGCUAAGUGGGAAAGCAUGUGGGAUGUCCAAAACAACCAGGAGGUUGGCUUAGAAGCAGCCAUCCUUUAAAGAUAGCGUAACAGCUCACUGGUCUAAUCAAGACGUCCUGCGGCGAAGAUGUAACGGGGCUCAAGCCAUGAGCCGAAGCUGAGGAUGCCGCAAGGCAUGGUAGCGGAGCGUAGUGUGAAAAGCUCCAUGCGUCUUUAGUCUUCCUCGGAAGGCAUUGGACGCAAGGAGCUGUCGAUGAAGCCGGGGCGUGAGCCAUCCGGUGGAGAGAUCACUAGCGAGAAUGAUGACAUGAGUAGCGACAAAGAGUGUGAGAGACACUCUCGCCGAAAGUCCAAGGGUUCCUGCUUAAAGCUAAUCUGAGCAGGGUAAGCCGGCCCCUAAGUCGAGGCGGAAACGCGUAGACGAUGGGAACCAGGUUAAUAUUCCUGGGCCAGGAGGAUGUGACGGAUUGUCCGGAGCGUAUGUCCCUUAUCGGAUUGGGGCAUAUCGAUGGCAGUCCCUGGAAAUAGCCCUCCGCCAGACCGUACCCGAAACCGACACAGGUGGACUGGUAGAGAAUACCAAGGCGCUUGAGAGAACAACGUUGAAGGAACUCGGCAAAAUACCUCCGUAAGUUCGCGAGAAGGAGGCCCGGUGUAUGAUCACCGGGGGCACAAACCAGGGGGUGGCGACUGUUUACUAAAAACACAGGGCUCUGCGAAGUCGCAAGACGACGUAUAGGGUCUGACGCCUGCCCGGUGCCGGAAGGUUAAAUGGAGGGGUGAGAGCUCCGAAAUGAAGCCCCGGUAAACGGCGGCCGUAACUAUAACGGUCCUAAGGUAGCGAAAUUCCUUGUCGGGUAAGUUCCGACCUGCACGAAUGGCGUAACGACUUCCCCGCUGUCUCCAACGUUGACUCAGCGAAAUUGAAUUGCCUGUCAAGAUGCAGGCUUCCCGCGGUUAGACGGAAAGACCCCGUGCACCUUUACUACAGCUUCAGACUGGCAUCAGGACUGCGAUGUGCAGGAUAGGUGGUAGGCUUUGAAACCGGAACGCCAGUUCCGGUGGAGCCUCCCUUGAGAUACCACCCUUCGCAUUCUUGAUGUCUAACCGCGGUCCGUCAUCCGGAUCCGGGACCCUCUGUGGCGGGUAGUUUGACUGGGGCGGUCGCCUCCUAAAGCGUAACGGAGGCGCGCGAAGGUUGGCUCAGAGCGGUCGGACAUCGCUCGUUGAGUGCAAUGGCAGAAGCCAGCCUGACUGCGAGACUGACAGGUCGAGCAGAGACGAAAGUCGGCCAUAGUGAUCCGGUGGUCCCAUGUGGGAGGGCCAUCGCUCAACGGAUAAAAGGUACGCCGGGGAUAACAGGCUGAUGAUGCCCAAGAGUCCAUAUCGACGGCAUCGUUUGGCACCUCGAUGUCGGCUCAUCUCAUCCUGGGGCUGGAGCAGGUCCCAAGGGUACGGCUGUUCGCCGUUUAAAGAGGUACGUGAGCUGGGUUUAGAACGUCGUGAGACAGUUCGGUCCCUAUCUGCCGUGGGUGUAGGAUACUUGAGAGGAGUUGCCCCUAGUACGAGAGGACCGGGGUGAACGAUCCACUGGUGGACCUGUUAUCGCGCCAGCGGUAGUGCAGGGUAGCUAUGAUCGGAAAGGAUAACCGCUGAAGGCAUCUAAGCGGGAAGCCCCCCUCAAAACAAGGUAUCCCCGAGGACCGUGGUAGACCACCACGUCGAUAGGCCGGAGAUGUAAGCGCAGCAAUGCGUUCAGUUGACCGGUACUAAUUGUCCGAUAGGCUUGACCUGAUCCGG
rnacentral:rRNA from 1 species